rnacentral:misc_RNA from 1 species
CUAAGGAGCUUAUAUUUUUGCGCAAUCAUUUCUUACACGCAUCAUUUCAACGGACUGUGUCUGUGGGUGUGUGUGACACACAAGUAAUCGUGUGGGUUGUGUUUUUUAACAUUUUUUUGUUAUCAGCUGUGGACUACAGUCUGCCGCACACUGUGUGCGCGCAUUGCACAAGUUUGUUGUGUGGUGUGGGAUGCAAACAAACAAAACGAGUAUGCGAAACGUUUUAUGUCAUUGAGAGUUAUGGCUACAUGAAAAGAAGAGUUAUGUUGGUGCACUGUUGGGUGUCUCGGGCAGCAUGCCCGUGGUGUGAUACCCACAAACACUAUUAGCCGCGUUGGUGUGGUUGGUGGUUUGUUGGUGGGUGUGUGUUGUUUGUGAACUGUAUAGUGGACGCGAGCAUCUUUAUUUUUUGCUUGUUUGAGUCAAAAUUUUUAUUUGAUCAUUUUGGUUUGUUUUU